UACGUAGGGGGCAAGCGUUGUCCGGAUUUACUGGGCGUAAAGAGCGUGUAGGCGGCCACGCAGGUCCGUUGUGAAAACUGGAGGCUCAACCUUCAGACGUCGACGGAAACCGUAAAGCUAGAGUCCGGAAGAGGAGAGUGGAAUUCCUGGUGUAGCGGUGAAAUGCGCAGAUAUCAGGAAGAACACCCGUGGCGAAGGCGGCUCUCUGGGACGGUACUGACGCUGAGACGCGAAAGCGUGGGGAGCGAACAGG
rnacentral:rRNA from 1 species